AUAGAGGAAUUGACCGCUGUUUUACUGCGCAAGCUUUUCAUCCAACUAAAGUUUAUGGCUUUACAGUUUCAGCUUGGAUGAGUGAGGGUAGAUGCGAAAGUUUACAUAGAACACGUCGAAUCAGCAAACAAUGAAAUUCUUCCAGAUGUUAUUGGCUUUUGUGAAAAAUAGACGAUUUCGGAGUUAGCGUAGCCAUCUUGGAAAAAUAUUCUUGGGGGUGCAAGUUGAACUUUGAACUUUCCG
rnacentral:lncRNA from 1 species